rnacentral:rRNA from 1 species
AUUGAACGCUGGCGGCAGGCUUAACACAUGCAAGUCGAGCGGGGGAGGUUGCUUCGGUAACUGACCUAGCGGCGGACGGGUGAGUAAUGCUUAGGAAUCUGCCUAUUAGUGGGGGACAACAUUCCGAAAGGAAUGCUAAUACCGCAUACGCCCUACGGGGGAAAGCAGGGGAUCUUCGGACCUUGCGCUAAUAGAUGAGCCUAAGUCGGAUUAGCUAGUUGGUGGGGUAAAGGCCUACCAAGGCGACGAUCUGUAGCGGGUCUGAGAGGAUGAUCCGCCACACUGGGACUGAAACACGGCCCAGACUCCUACGGGAGGCAGCAGUGGGGAAUAUUGGACAAUGGGCGGAAGCCUGAUCCAGCCAUGCCGCGUGUGUGAAGAAGGCCUUUUGGUUGUAAAGCACUUUAAGCGAGGAGGAGGCUCUUAAGGUUAAUACCCUUGAUGAGUGGACGUUACUCGCAGAAUAAGCACCGGCUAACUCUGUGCCAGCAGCCGCGGUAAAAC